AUGCCCCUGACAGCAGCUUUACUCCCCCACACACACGCAGAGAUUCCAGUUCAAACCGCGGUGAUGUCACCGUUGGUUUGUGGACUUGUGGAGCCUCGGGGUCGGCAUCACCGCCAUCACCAUCUUGGUUAUGUGGAGCCACGAGUGACCAUUCCUGGACGGGAAGGUGCAGCUGGGGAGGAAACAAGCGAGAAGUUACGUCACAUUCUGAGAUCGACACUUCUCCACUGGCAGGACGGCGGCGAGCGGAACAAGCUACUGCUAACCCCUCAAACUCA
rnacentral:lncRNA from 1 species